AAAAACAUCUUCUCUUGUUAGUAGUUUUUGAGGUACGGCCUGCCCACUGAUAGAUUGAAGGGCCGCGGUAUUUUGACCGUGCAAAGGUAGCAUAAUCAUUAGUUCUUUAAUUGUGAACUGGUAUGAAUGGCUUGACGAGGUAUUAACUGUCUUUUAUUAGAUUAUUUGAAUUUGGGGUUUGGGUAAGAAUACUUAAAUUUUUUUAUGGGACGAGAAGACCCUAUAGAGUUUUACAUAAGUAUUAUUUUUUUCUGUUUGUAUUUUUUAGUAAUUUGUUUAUGUUUUGUUGGGGUGAUGGGAUGAUAUAAUUAACUCUUCCUGGAUUUGGUGCACUUA
rnacentral:rRNA from 1 species